rnacentral:rRNA from 1 species
GGGGGACUCGCAAGAGCCUCGCGCGAUUGGAGCGGCCGAUAUACAGAUUAGGUAGUUGGUGAGGUAAAGGCUCACCAAGCCGACGAUCUGUAGCUGGUCUGAGAGGACGACCAGCCACACUGGAACUGAGACACGGUCCAGACUCCUACGGGAGGCAGCAGUGGGGAAUUUUUGGACAAUGGGGCAACCUGAUCCAGCAAUGCCGCGUGAGUGAAGAAGGCCUUCGGGUUGUAAAGCUCUUUUUGUCAGGGAAGAAACGGUGAGUUCUAAUAAAGCUUGCUAAUGACGGUACCUGAAGAAUAAGCACCGGCUAACUACGUG